UACAGAGGGGCAAGCGUUGCUCGGAAUCACUGGGCGUAAAGCGCACGUAGGCGGACUCUUAAGUCGGUGGUGAAAUCCUGGAGCUCAACUCCAGAACUGCCUUCGAUACUGAGAGUCUCGAGUCCGAGAGAGGUGAGUGGAACUGCGAGUGUAGAGGUGAAAUUCGUAGAUAUUCGCAAGAACACCAGUGGCGAAGCGGCUCACUGCUCGGUACUGACGCUGAGGUGCGAAAGCGUGGGGAGCA
rnacentral:rRNA from 1 species